UCAGGUUUUACUGAAAAUAAUGUAAAGGGCUGGAGCCAGAGUGAGAUUCAGGCAUAUGAAGUGGCUGUAGAAAAACAGCCUAUUACAGAGGAUCAAAGUGUCAUAGUGAUAUUCUAUAGCCAUGAAUUCACCGAUCUACCAAGUGGCACAAUGAACUGUGUGACAACAAAGAAGCUACCUAUCCUAACACGUGGAUCUACUUCAUAUCAAAGUUUCAAGGGCUGAUCUAAAAAGAAUUGUAUCACAAAAUGAAUUAGAAUCUUCAUUUGCUUAAAGCAAGUGGUGAAUGUUUCAACUUCACUGGAGCGCUUGAUGUAGAAGAAAAAAGCUCUGAACCAUAUUAUUUAAUAGGUUAUAGUGUAUGCUUAGAAAUAAAGGUCUUACAGUUUUCUGGCA